CCGGCGACCGGCGCACGGGUGAGUAACACGUAUGCAACCUGCCCUCCGCAGGGGGAUAACCCGGAGAAAUCCGGACUAAUACCGCGUGGUACAUCUGUGGGGCAUCCCACGGGUGUUAAAAGGAAGCGAUUCCGGCGGAGGAUGGGCAUGCGGCGCAUUAGCUAGGUGGCGGGGUAACGGCCCACCAAGGCGACGAUGCGUAGGGGUUCUGAGAGGAAGGUCCCCCACACUGGUACUGAGACACGGACCAGACUCCUACGGAAGGCAGCAG
rnacentral:rRNA from 1 species